rnacentral:rRNA from 1 species
UACGUAGGGUGCGAGCGUUGUCCGGAAUUAUUGGGCGUAAAGGGCUCGUAGGCGGUCUGUUGCGUCGGUAGUGAAAACUCAGGGCUUAACCCUGAGCCUGCUCCCGAUACGGGCAGACUAGAGGUAUGCAGGGGAGAACGGAAUUCCUGGUGUAGCGGUGAAAUGCGCAGAUAUCAGGAGGAACACCGGUGGCGAAGGCGGUUCUCUGGGCAUUACCUGACGCUGAGGAGCGAAAGUGUGGGGAGCGAACAGG